GAUGAACGCUAGCUACAGGCUUAACACAUGCAAGUCGAGGGGUAGCAGGGUAGCAAUACCGCUGACGACCGGCGCACGGGUGAGUAACACGUAUCCAACCUUCCCAUCACUCGGGGAUAGCCUUUCGAAAGAAAGAUUAAUACCCGAUAGUACUUUUUUGAGGCAUCUUAAGAAAGUUAAAGAUUUAUUGGUGAUGGAUGGGGAUGCGUUCCAUUAGAUUGUUGGUGAGGUAACGGCUCACCAAGUCUUCGAUGGAUAGGGGUUCUGAGAGGAACGGUCCCCCACAUUGGUACUGAGACACGGACCAAACUCCUACGGGAGGCAGCAGUGAGGAAUAUUCGGUCAAUGGGCGAGAGCCUGAACCAGCCAAGUAGCGUGAAGGAUGAAGGUCCUAAUGGAUUGUAAACUUCUUUUAUAGUAGAAAUAAAGUGAUCCACGUGUGGAUUUUUGUAUGUAUACUAUAGAAUAAAGGAUCGGCUUAACUCCCGUGCCCAGCAGCCGCGGUAAUAGUGU
rnacentral:rRNA from 1 species